AAAUCUGAAAAACAAUAAUUUUUUUCAAAAACGAAUGAUAUUCAUUUUUUCUAUUCAAUGAUUCAAGAUACAAGUAACAGGACAAUCAUAAUAAAAAAUUUCUUCACAUUGAUUGAUAAUCUGAGCAUGGAUAACAGACAAUCAUCUGGAUUAUUGAAAAAGUAAGUCGAAUGACAAGUUAAAAUAAUCAAUCUUAGGUGGUCUUCUUUACCACCAUGGUGGUGGUGGUGUUGGUGGUAUUGUGGCCAAUCCUCAAGUGCGUUUG
rnacentral:lncRNA from 1 species